GAAGCUAAUAUAGCAUUAUGGUUUCGACCCAUACUAUGAACACAAAGUUCCCUUUGCUGAUAUAACACUUCGCUUUGAUGACAAGUUAAUUACUACUAUCAAACCUCAUAUGGUAACCUAAGUGACUUGCGAAUCGUACCUUUGUGUAAAGCGUACGUUAAAUACGAAGCAGUACACAUCGUAACAUUGGAAAAUCAACCAAAGGCACCCGCCCGCAACACCAAUGAACUAUAUUGUAAAAGCUAGGGAACUAGGCAACAAGAAAAGUAAACCAAUAGUGACUAAUGGGGUGCCAGCAGUCGCGGUUAGACCCCAACUAAGAAUUAAUUCGCACAAUCAUCCGGGUACAAACCCACCAGCCUGACUUUAAACCAAAACCCAAAGGUGAAAUUUACACAAGACAGGCACACCCAAUCAAGUCAUCGCCUAAACGUACCCAACAAACCACACCCUACAAAACACGGAUUAGAUACCCGUCUACUGCGUGGCCCAACAACCAAAACUCUAAAAACGAAAGUUCCAAACUUAAAAAGCGUGGCGGUAUUCUACACUCUAUUAGGGGAUCCUGUGGCUUAAUUCGAUAACCCACGAACACCGAAGCUUUGUUAGUUAACAGCUUAUGUAUGGCCGUUUUAAGUCUGCACAUUAACAAAACAAAAGGAGACACCUAAAGCAAAACUUUAACAACACAGGUGACAUAUAGCCAACACAAAGCAGCUCAUGGGAUACAAAUGACCACAAUCAUCCGAAAAAGAAUGAAAUUUCUUAUAUCAAGGAGGACUUAAAAGUAAGGUUACAACAUUAUUACAACCUGAACAAGAACUAGAAUGCGCACAAAUCGCCCGUCACUCCCGGUACUUAAACUGG
rnacentral:rRNA from 1 species